UUCCUCUGUCCAAUGGCUCACUCUAAAUCUCUGCACCUUCCAAGUCAAGAAAAAGAGAGAGAAAAAAAAUGCAUGUUGAGGUAACAAGCUUCUUAAAGAGUGAGGAAAGCACCACUUCAUCUGGGAACUAAAAAAUGAGAUUGCCGGAGAAAAUAGAAUAUCAGCGCUAAGCAUAAUGUGACAAAAAAGAAGAGGAGGAAAAGGGGUGAGAGAGGGAGAAGUUGUGCAUUCAGCUAACCCCCCUCCUCAGUCCGCCUCUUUCCACCCUCUGGAAAAGUCUCUCCCUCUCUCUCUCUCUACCUCUUUUCUCUCCGUCUCUCUGCAGCUGUGCUCUGCCGAGCAUCACCUCCACACAGCAAGUGCCUUUACUUCAGCAGAAGAGGGAGAAAGAAGAGGAAGGUGGCUGCGAGCUCCAGAGCACAAGAAACCUCAGGAGUGCGUCUGCACACGGCAGAGGAGUGCUUCUCUCUACUCUUCAUACAGAAGGGCUAAGGAGCGCACAGAGACAGGGAAGAGGCGACUGCGUUGGAGUAACGCUGUGCCAGUGGUGCCGACUGGGGACAGGGUAAUCCACUGACACUGUUGAUCCUGGUGGCUCUGGCAAAAAGCUUCCAGAAGGAGACAGAGAAGCGGAAAAGCAGACAGGAUCUUGCCAAGGGGGCAGCAUUUUACUUCGGAAAACGAAGCGUGGCGACAGCAGAAACGCACACAGAGAGACACACUCACAAACACCAGAGUGGAAAAAGGACAGCCAGACACCCACCGCAUUUAAAAAUCCACUACAACCCUUCAGUUUCUUCUGACUUAACCAAGAAAAUAGAAAAAUGUCUCAUGUUGUUGCCUGUGGAUGACGGAUAUUAACUUCUUGGGAGAAAUUUGUCUUCUAAAGUAAGAUUUUUUUCAAACUUUGCUACUUUUUUUAUUUUUUGGAGUUGGGCCUGUAAACUGUCUGAGCACAUCACAGAUUUCUUCUUAGUUACAGAAAUGGAGAGUUGUCUUGGGGACCGUUGAGAUGCCUCCUCCUGAUUCAGAGUAGAAAGUGGAUUAUGACGGCAGUAUUUUGAGAUUUCUUCUUUGCACCAUAAUAAAAAAAAUCCAUCUACGUCUGCUGGAUUUAUGUCUGAGAGAAGGAGAAGAUCUCAGGCAUUUUCUCUUCUCCUGUGGAUUACCUACGGGUUUUCUCUCAUGGAUGAUUGCUUGCCGCCGUUUAUUAAAAAAAAGUAUGAAAAGGGACAAGUCAUAGCUGAUGGAGUUUAAUACAGAGCAAGUCUGGAUGAAAAUCUGUGAGAAGCUGCCAAAGACAUGUGCCUGGGAGGUUCACCUUCAAUCGAGUAGUCUAGAUAAUGGCUUAGUUAAAGUUUAAUUAUCCAAUUAAGACUCUGAGGAAAAACUUGAAAAUUCCUGAAGACACUCCCCAUUAAAAGUGUUUCUACAAAGUGGGCUGAUUACAUAUCAGUUAAAAAGAAACAAAACUAUGCACAGUUUCCUUCCACUCCACCAUUAUGUAAUGAUUUAUGUUGGUCUUCUGCAUCAUUCCAGCAAAAUGAAUGACAAUGAAUGAAAAUGGGAUAAAACAUGGAAAAGUUCAAGAUGAAAUGAAUAAUUUAGCAAGGCACAACUCAUUUUUGCUAGUCAACUUUUCCCUUGAUAUAGUUUUUUUCCCCCCACCAAAUUACAUUUUGACAGGACGAAGAUAAAUGCUUCAUAUAUCUUCAGAAGUAGCUCAAACUUUUCUAGGCUUUCUUACGACGACUUUCCAACAGGUUCUUGAGUCAUCUCUUCCCCUCUCAAAUGUAAUAAAUUGGAAAGUCUGCCUAUCCACACCUACGAUAUAAACACUGACAAAGAUGCCUGGGACAAGCCAGCAAGAUAAACAGUGUCUGUAAAUUCACAACUUGACCUUCGGCAGUCUUAAAUGGCAACAGAGUCGAGUCACAAAUGUAUUUUUCAGGGAAGGCAUGUUUGGAGGUGACCAGAACAAACCAGCAGAGAAAAUGAAUCCUCAUCAAGUAUUGAUCCUCCUGUCUGGAGGAAAAGUGAUAAGAUUUGAAACAACCAUCUUCUAUAAAAGAAAAUACCAUACUUUUUUGACGGAGCAACAGGAGGUCUUUGAUGCUGCUGAGAUGUGUGUGCCUAAAGCUCAUCUUUACUGGAGUAUCCUAAAACCCAGCAUGAGUUGGGACUUCACAAAGUUUUCGACUCCUUAUUCUUAAACAGAGAUGCCCCUGUGCAGGAGUGAAGCAAAUAAAAUUGAUGUUUCUCGGCAUAGUUCAUCUAAUUCAUUCUAAAUUUGUUUGUAUGCACACACUCCAAACACAGUAGCUCUGAGCAACAUCCUUUUACAGUUUGCUGAAAAGAGGCAAUUAGCUGUUCUACAGUCAAAAUACUUCUGCAAUUAAUCUUUAUCUUAGCGCUCUUAAUCACCAAAUUACAGCCUGGAUAAUUAUGAAACAGCUUCCCCACACAUCCAUCCAUGCAUGUUUUCAUUUCAUGCCCCUGUGACACGGAAGGUUUCGCUAUCGCGCAUAUGCACAGUUUGUGAGGAUUACCAACGGCUAUGAAGUAUGACCCUGACUGGAGAUCAAGCCCGAGACUCGCAGCUACGAUAUGAUCCUGCUUAUAAUCAGGUCAGCAGCUCUUAGUCGACACAACGGGAAACCAUGGACAUCAGAAACGAGAAGCGCCUGCUCAGAGUGGUGUUAAGUGUUGUAUAAAAAUGUGAAUUAUGAAGAGGUGUUUAAAUAUUCAAGCAACCCAGCAGUUCAAUGAGAUUUAUCAUUUAAAUCCAAGCAAUUCUGCAAGUUUUCUCUCAGGUCUUGUUGACCUAUAAAAGAUUCAGAUGGUUUAUAAGUCGCUGUGAUGCUUACAGGGCAUUUUCUCAGGAACCCAUUCAUAUGUAAACCGUCUAAAAAUCUGAAAUAAUAUUCUCUCAGUGUAAUAUCUGUGGAGGAAAUAAAAUGUAAAUAUGGAACUGUGAAAAAAAGGAUUUUCCUCCGCAGAUUUCUUCUGCUUUUUGCCACAUGUAAAUGAAACCCAGUUUAAUAUGAGAUAUAAGCUUAGUCAAUAUAAA